rnacentral:tRNA from 1 species
AAGGGAGACCUAAUUCGGGUAGGAGACGAGAAAAAAGUAGUCCCUACCAAGAAUCAAUCCCAAAAGGUCGGAACGAGGUAUGAGGCUUUCAAACUAGGUUCUGGGUUCAUAAAAGACCUGAAUCAGGAACAAGGGCUAUUAGCUCAGGUGGUUAGAGCGCACCCCUGAUAAGGGUGAGGUCCCUGGUUCGAGUCCAGGAUGGCCCACCUGCACAGGUGGCAAAAACAAGAGAAGCUCCGAAUCAGCACCUUAUCUUAUAUACAUAUAUAAGAGAGAAUGCUGGCUCUGAGUACAGAGUCCAGAGGAACCUUGAAAACUGCAUAGAGCUAGGUGAAAAAGCCAAAAAAGAAGACCGCAA